UGGGCCUCUGUGGUCAGAGAGCAUGGCCAGAUGCAACAGAUGGAAACUACAGGGAGGCCAACUGAGUCUUGAUUGAAGAAGGGGAAUCUUCUGAUAAAGGAAGACUGCUUAGGGCAACAAACACACUUUUCAACUGAGAAGGCAUCAGUACACCAGAGAAAUAUG